rnacentral:lncRNA from 1 species
AUUGGCGCGUGUCAGACGUGGCGCAUCCAGCAUUCAGGCCGUAGACCCGGGGAAGACCCGGCCCACAAUUUGGAAGGUCGCCUCACCUUCCUGCACUGAGGACGCCGUACACUCUCACCCCCUUCGUGGCACCCCAAGUGCCACAACUAGUGGCAUGGGUUGGUGACAUAAGCGGGGUGAGCGCGUGGCUUAUAUAAAAACCCCGGGAGGUGACACAGUCGGACACGCACUCGACGUCGGAACAAGAUUUCCUUCCGCUUCGCAGCAGCGACUAAAUAAAAGCAAGCAUGCUGAAGAACGUCAUCAUCGCUGCCCUCCUGCUGGCAGCUGUCUUCUGCAUAGCCUCGGCACAAUUCGGAUACGGCCGUGGCUUUGGGUAUGGCCGUGGUUUCGGAUACGGCCGAGGCUUUGGCUAUGGACGCGGUUUUGGCUACGGUCGUGGCUUCUAUGGAGGAUUCGGGCGGGGCUACUACGGAGGCUUUGGACGUGGUUUUGGCUAUGGCAGAGGAUUCUACGGCUGAACAAGACGACUCUUUCAAGAAUGAAAACCACUUCAUCCAUGUUCAUAGCAGAUCCAUUUCCAAUCUACCAUUUCUGGAUUUUGUAAUAAAAGAGCGAUUGUACCUUUGAA